AUCAGGUGGAGCAGCAACCACUGUAAAAACGGGCGAAACCGAAAAGCCAUACGAGUAGGAAGCAA
rfam:Niabella sp. BS26, complete genome.